rnacentral:rRNA from 1 species
UACGUCGGGGGCGAGCGUUGUCCGGAAUCAUUGGGCGUAAAGCGCGCGUAGGCGGCCCGGUAAGUCCGCUCUGAAAGUCCAGGGCUCAACCCUGGAAAGCGGGUGGAUACUGCCGGGCUCGAAUCCGGAAGAGGCGAGUGGAAUUCCUGGUGUAGCGGUGGAAUGCGCAGAUAUCAGGAGGAACACCAAUAGCGAAGGCCGCUCGCUGGGACGGUAUUGACGCUCAGGCGCGUAAGCGUGGGGACCAAACAGG